rnacentral:lncRNA from 1 species
GGACCUGGGCCGCAUAGGAUCACUUAGGAUGGUGUUGAGGUGGAUACCACUCCGACUACAACCGCGUAGUACGAGUCGCCCAUCUCUACCCCGAAAUUUCUUCCUUCACGUCAAAGGUACCCACCCCGGUCUGCAACCGCGCGACACGGGUCGGUUCCUUGACGAAGCCGGAGUCAUGGGUAACUCGACCUAGCCACAACCUUGUU